rnacentral:misc_RNA from 1 species
GAUGAAUAACGUAGCGAAAUGCGAUAAGUAAUGUGAAUUGCAGAAUUCAGUGAAUCAUCGAAUCUUUGAACGCACAUUGCGCCCAUUAGCAUUCUAGUGGGCAUGCCUGUUCGAGCGUCAUUUCAACCCUUAAGCCCUGUUGCUUAGCGUUGGGAGCCUACAGUACUGUAGCUCCCCAAAGUUAGUGGCGGAGUCGGUUUCACACUCUAGACGUAGUAAUUUUUUCUCGUCUGUAGUUGAGCCGGUCCCCUGCCGUAAAACACCCAAUUUAUCAAGGUUGACCUCGGAUCAGGUAGGAAUACCCGCUGAACUUAAGCAUAUCAAUAAGCGGAGGA